rnacentral:tRNA from 1 species
GUCCCCUUCGUCUAGAGGUUCGGACACCGCCCUUUCACGGCGGUAACAGGGGUUCGAAUCCCCUAGGGGACGCCA